UUUAGACAAGUGAAAAAUUUCCGUAUAUGCUUGGGAAUUGGCCCAAGUGUUUCUACCGGGCAACCGUAAUUGCCUGACUACGGAGGGAAAGUGUACCUAGG
rnacentral:ncRNA from 1 species